rnacentral:rRNA from 1 species
UUUUAUGAGAGUUUGAUCCUGGCUCAGGACGAACGCUGGCGGCGUGCCUAAUACAUGCAAGUCGAACGCUUCUUUUUCCACCGGAGCUUGCUCCACCGGAAAAAGAGGAGUGGCGAACGGGUGAGUAACACGUGGGUAACCUGCCCAUCAGAAGGGGAUAACACUUGGAAACAGGUGCUAAUACCGUAUAACAAUCGAAACCGCAUGGUUUUGAUUUGAAAGGCGCUUUCGGGUGUCGCUGAUGGAUGGACCCGCGGUGCAUUAGCUAGUUGGUGAGGUAACGGCUCACCAAGGCCACGAUGCAUAGCCGACCUGAGAGGGUGAUCGGCCACAUUGGGACUGAGACACGGCCCAAACUCCUACGGGAGGCAGCAGUAGGGAAUCUUCGGCAAUGGACGAAAGUCUGACCGAGCAACGCCGCGUGAGUGAAGAAGGUUUUCGGAUCGUAAAACUCUGUUGUUAGAGAAGAACAAGGAUGAGAGUAACUGUUCAUCCCUUGACGGUAUCUAACCAGAAAGCCACGGCUAACUACGUGCCAGCAGCCGCGGUAAUACGUAGGUGGCAAGCGUUGUCCGGAUUUAUUGGGCGUAAAGCGAGCGCAGGCGGUUUCUUAAGUCUGAUGUGAAAGCCCCCGGCUCAACCGGGGAGGGUCAUUGGAAACUGGGAGACUUGAGUGCAGAAGAGGAGAGUGGAAUUCCAUGUGUAGCGGUGAAAUGCGUAGAUAUAUGGAGGAACACCAGUGGCGAAGGCGGCUCUCUGGUCUGUAACUGACGCUGAGGCUCGAAAGCGUGGGGAGCAAACAGGAUUAGAUACCCUGGUAGUCCACGCCGUAAACGAUGAGUGCUAAGUGUUGGAGGGUUUCCGCCCUUCAGUGCUGCAGCUAACGCAUUAAGCACUCCGCCUGGGGAGUACGACCGCAAGGUUGAAACUCAAAGGAAUUGACGGGGGCCCGCACAAGCGGUGGAGCAUGUGGUUUAAUUCGAAGCAACGCGAAGAACCUUACCAGGUCUUGACAUCCUUUGACCACUCUAGAGAUAGAGCUUCCCCUUCGGGGGCAAAGUGACAGGUGGUGCAUGGUUGUCGUCAGCUCGUGUCGUGAGAUGUUGGGUUAAGUCCCGCAACGAGCGCAACCCUUAUUGUUAGUUGCCAUCAUUCAGUUGGGCACUCUAGCAAGACUGCCGGUGACAAACCGGAGGAAGGUGGGGAUGACGUCAAAUCAUCAUGCCCCU